rnacentral:rRNA from 1 species
GUAGGGAAUCUUCCGCAAUGGACGCAAGUCUGACGGAGCAACGCCGCGUGAGUGAAGAAGGUUUUCGGAUCGUAAAACUCUGUUGUUAGAGAAGAACAAGUGCUAGAGUAACUGUUAGCGCCUUGACGGUAUCUAACCAGAAAGCCACGGCUAACUACGUGCCAGCAGCCGCGGUAAUACGUAGGUGGCAAGCGUUGUCCGGAUUUAUUGGGCGUAAAGCGAGCGCAGGCGGUUCCUUAAGUCUGAUGUGAAAGCCCCCGGCUCAACCGGGGAGGGUCAUUGGAAACUGGGGAACUUGAGUGCAGAAGAGGAGAGUGGAAUUCCAUGUGUAGCGGUGAAAUGCGUAGAUAUAUGGAGGAACACCAGUGGCGAAGGCGACUCUCUGGUCUGUAACUGACGCUGAGGCUCGAAAGCGUGGGUAGCAAACAGGAUUAGAUACCCUGGUAGUCCACGCCGUAAACGAUGAGUGCUAAGUGUUGGAGGGUUUCCGCCCUUCAGUGCUGCAGUUAACGCAUUAAGCACUCCGCCUGGGGAGUACGACCGCAAGGUUG